rnacentral:rRNA from 1 species
CGCGGCCUAUCAGCUAGUUGGUGAGGUAACGGCCCACCAAGGCUAAGACGGGUAGCUGGUCUGAGAGGAUGGUCAGCCACACUGGGACUGAGACACGGCCCAGAGUCCUACGGGAUGCAGCAGUCAGGAAUAUUGCGCAAUGGAGGAAACUCUGACGCAGCGACGCCGCGUGGGUGAUGAAGGCCUUCGGGUCGUAAAGCCCUGUCGGAGGGGAAGAAAAGCGGUCUGGCUAAUAUCCAGGCCGCUCUUGACGGUACCCUCAAAGGAAGCACCGGCUAACUCCGUGCCAGCAGCCGCGGUAAGACGGAGGGUGCAAGCGUUGUUCGGAUUGACUGGGCGUAAAGGGCGUGUAGGCGGUUGGUCAAGUCUGGUGUGAAAGCCCGGGGCUCAGCUCCGGAAGUGCAUCGGAGACUAGCCGACUGGAGCGCGAUAGAGGAGGGUGGAAUUCCUGGUGUAGCGGUGAAAUGCGUAGAUAUCAGGAGGAACACCGGCGGCGAAGGCGGCCCUCUGGAUCGUUGCUGACGCUGAGACGCGAAAGCG